AAUACAUGCAAGUCGAGGGGCAGCACGGUUAGCAAUAACUGGUGGCGACCGGCGCACGGGUGCGUAACACGUAUACAAUCUACCUUAAACAGGGGGAUAGCCUUUCGAAAGAGAGAUUAAUACCCCGUAAUAAAUUGAACGGCAUCGUUUGAUUUGAAAGCUCCGGCGGUUUGAGAUGAGUAUGCGUCUGAUUAGCUAGUUGGUGAGGUAACGGCUCACCAAGGCGACGAUCAUAGGGGAUCUGAGAGGACUAACCCCCACACUGGUACUGAGACACGGACCAGACUCCUACGGGAGGCAGCAGUAAGGAAUAUUGGUCAAUGGAGGCAACUCUGAACCAGCCAUGCCGCGUGCAGGAUGACGGCCCUAUGGGUUGUAAACUGCUUUUAUACAAGAGAAAACCCUGGUACGUGUACCAGGUUGAUAGUAUUGUAAGAAUAAGCAUCGGCUAACUUCGUG
rnacentral:rRNA from 1 species